AAGUGUGUAGAGUUAGUUGCUGUAUAAAUGGACUCUGUGUCAGAUAUAUUUCUAAAUCACCUGGAUUUACAAACACUACACCUCCCCUGUGUAUCCUUUGUUGCUACCUCUCUAUUUGUGGGAGUGAAACAUCAUCUGAGCCCAGCCACCCAUCUGGGGGUGACUGCACCAUGGUAUCCAGUACAUUGCCCUGGUUCAGCUAGCUGAUCUGCUGUUGAAAACCAGCCUGCUUCUAUUGGCACAAGAGGGUGCCUUCAUACCAUUUACAAAAUUACAGAGGUCCUGUAUGGAACAAAAUGAAGCAGACGAACAUUUGAAUUUGAAGGAUUGCAGCACUUGUCAAAACAACACUGGCGAGACUUACAUCGGGCAAAAUGGCUAUCUUGUGAUCACAUCGAUGUAGCACAUUAUUUAAUUGGCAAUGUCCACAUAUUGAUGGGUUACAGAGCACUGUAGUACUGGCUGCAGUGAUUAAUGGUGAACUGGUGGGUUCCCCAAAAAACAAUUUAAUUCAAAUAAUAUAUGUUCAUGACAAUCACUGGGUUAUGAUAAGAAACAUUUCAUGUUCUAAACGAUCUGUACAACAGCUUGUACAGUGGUCUUGAUUCUAAAGAAAUUUUACAGAUAUCUUGGAUGAAUGUUUGUAAAUGAUAAAUUCAAAAUGAAUGUAAAAGAUGUUCAGAAACAAAAAAAUGCAAGUGAUUGUGGAGCAUACACAAUUGCAUUUGCAGCAAGUCUUGCAUUUGGUAAAAGUCCAACAACACGCACAUAUGAACAAGCACAACUAAGAUCACAUAUUGCAAAAGGUUUCAAAGAACAACAAAUUAGACAUUUUUCAACAAAAACAAGAGAAGCAGCAGCAGACCUAGACAAUGUAAUAUUCCCUGUGUACUGCAUGUGUAGACUCAUUUACUGUGGAGAAUUGAUGGUUUAAUGCUCAUCGUGUUUUAAAUGGGUAUCACCGAGGUUGUCAAAAUAUACCUGAGAUUGCAAUUAAAAAGAAAACAUAAGUAUGGAUUGUAAAACUUGUACAUUGUAGCCGUGUAAAAAACAUCCAUUCAGGUCAAUACAAACAACAAUUACAUUGUCAAUUCACAGUAAAAUGUUUUGAUACUGUAGACUGGUCAGUGUGUGAUACAUCUCCACAAUAAAUAUAUUAUUACA